AAUGCUUUUGCAGCAUGACUUAAUUUAAGUGUUGAUGACUUUAGAGUAGUAUACUAGUGUGAGAUGCAUAUGACUCAAUGUACAUUGUGUUUCUUGGGGUGACAGAGGGAUGGGGAGGAAAAGAUUUUUAUACUGCUAUAUUUUUUACUUUGUAGGGUGAUGCAUUAUAAUUCUUAAUUUCUUAUAGCAGUAUACCUAUAUGCAAGUAAUAUGCUUGUUGAGAUUGUAAGGAUCGAUUUCUCGCGACGUUAGUUCACAAACUGGAAACCUCACAUAGAUGAAUUGAUAUUACUUUAUAUGUAAGAAAAUGUGGUGUGAAUUUCAAUAUGAGACUCAGUUAUGUUGAGUAUGUUCAGGGUUUAUAUGCUGCAUACAUUGACUGCUAACUCUAUACAUCAGUAACUACUCAUAGCUAAAUUACACUUUACAUAGCUCGUACUAAAUCUGGGCUACCGGCAGCUAUUAAGCUCCUGAUAAUUUAGCAAUUACCCCUUUGGAUUCUUAAGUUUGGGCCUCGUGUGUUAAUAACUUUGGGAUAUCCAUUUUCUGUCAUAAUAGAACCAACUGGUACGUAUUUCCUUUCUUUUUCUCACCUAAGAGUAACAUGUGGCUGUUUAUAUAUGCAUUAUUUGAAAUUUUAACCUUUUUCGGCAUUCACUUUCCACAAUUCGGGGCUCUCACUCACAACAUUAGGAACAUGCACAAUCCCUUGCAUGUGAUCUAAAAGUUGCUGUCAUUUUCUCAUUAAGAUAUGCUGAAUGGAUUUCUUGUUUUUAUUUAAGUUACCUUAGCUUAUAUCAUGGAUACAAGGACGUUAUGAGUUUUUACCGCAUGUGUAUAUGUUUCAAAUGGACUUUUACUUAGUCUUUGCCCUACGUUUUCUCUGACCUGUUUGGGAAAAAUUGCAAUGCAGAAAGCAGAGGCAGGAAACGAAAGAGUGAAACUCCAAUUAAGGAAAAACCAGAGGUCCCUCCUGACAAGCUUGUCAGCAUUCAGAUUCCACCAACUCUAAGGAAGCAAUUAGUUGAUGAUUGUGAAUUUAUCACCCAUCUGGGCAAGCUUGUUAAACUUCCUCGCACCCCUAAUGUGAAUGACAUAAUGAAGAAUUAUUUUGAUUACAGAUUGAAGAAAUGUGGCUUCUUGUAGGCAUUAAUUAAAAUUGAAAGGAAGGGGGUCCAUAAAGGUUGAAGUUAAAAGGAAAACAGAACUGGGUCCUAAUGCAUUUCCCCAUCAGCAAUCAGCAGGUGGCUUCCUAACGUGCCAUUCCUUCCAGUUCACGAGAGUUUGGGUUUGAGAGCCUCUAGGUGUGGCAAGCAAGUAUGGCAGCUGGCUGAGGUUGGAGAGACCAUGGAAGGGCAGGCGACUCCGACGGGGAAGACUUUUUUCUAGCCCUGGUUGCAGCACACUUCUUUUGCCUGUUUUAGGAGGUAGUGUAUUUUAAUUUAUUUUAUGGAGAAUUCCAAAAACAUAACUAAUUUUGCCAUGAAAGAACAAUAAUUCCUUCAGAAUGGUUGCACAAGCUAAGGUUGAUAUACAACAUCUUCUAUUUAUCACUUGGAGUGGGUUUUUUCCCCUUCUUGGUAAUUUUUUUUUCUAAUUAAUCUGUUGUCCUUCUUCAGACUUUGUGUUGUUCUUAUUAUUAUUAGCAACACCAGGAUAUACUUUAAUUUGUUCAUUUUAUUAGUUACAUCUUUUUCUUACAAAGUAUGCUAUUAUUAAUUAUUACUACUAUAUAUAUAAACUGUACUUGUUUUGUUCUUCAUAUAAAUUAAAUAAUCCAAAUGUAGAAGAAGCUGGAGUCCUCUUUUAAAACAAACUAAUAAGGAAUUAAUUAUGGGGCUGAUUUAAAAGUGAUUUUGUACUUGUGUCUGAAUUUUCUUAUGUUCCCAUUCUAGUAUUAUUAUUAUUGUGGAUGAAAAAAUUUCCACUUAAAUGAUGAGAAAAUUUUCUUAUGUUCCCGUUCCAGUAUUAUUAAUUUAUUAUAGUGUUAAAUGUUUGGAGCCACUUGAGGAGAGAUAAUUGUUUCAUUUCAUCUCAUGAUGAACAUGUGAAUAAUUACUAAGAAAAAAGUAUAUAUAUCAUGGCACUAUUGUCUUCAACAUUGCUGGUUUUUGAAGUUUUGCUUUGUUUUCUCGAGUCAAACAAAAUGGCAAAAUAUAGUAACACAUUGACCAACUCAUUCUUCUUAUAAAUAAUCUCUCUCUUCUAUCGUCUCAAGAUGUGACUGAGGAUUGGGAUCCAAAUUAAGGAACAUACGGAAAAAAAAAAUUACUCAAGUCUAAGUCUAUUUUUACAUUAGUCAAUAUAAAAA